GCACAGACCCUCUUUCCCUCCCCACAGUCUCCGAAGGAGGGACUCCCGAAUGGGAAGGGGCCUCUGAUCCGGAUGGGGGCUGGGAAGUAGUCCUUGUGGGGCCUGCAGGCUGUCAGAACAGAGCUGCCGUCCCACCCACGGCGUUGGACCCCCGCAGUAUCUGGGGGAGGUGACAGGGCUCUGAGUUUGCAUUGGGAAGAGGAAGACUUAUUUUAGUACCAAACUCUUGGGAGGCCACCUUCGUUCACACCGCACCCAAGGAAAAGCGCCUUGGUUUGAGAAGUGAUAUGCUGCCCAAAUUCUCCAUGCACAGGCAGAACUCUGGGUGCUGGGUCUUCCAACACCUCUCCCAAACUUACCCUUGAGAUUAGAGAGGGUGGGCUUCUCCUUUCCUCAACCAUUUUCAAUCCAAUUUUCCUGCAAGGAGACAACAGUCUGGGGUUGCAGGGUUCCUGGCCUCAUGCCUGCUGCCUAAUGCCCUGAAUGUUGAGACUCCUUCAAACCUCGAAACCUCCUUCAAACCUCCUUCAAACCCAUCUCUGGUUCCCUUGCCCAUCCAUACCAAGCCAUCACAGCAGGAAAGAGCAAAGAGACUGGAGGAGUGAGGCCAGGGAAGGCAAGGAGCACUGGUGUCUUUGCUGAAGGUCCCUUGCUUGGGCAGUCAACCAAGGUAUGUCGGAGGGGGGAAGCCUUCAGCCUUUUAUUUCCCCCUUGUCCACUGUAUCCAAUCAGGAAGGAAUCUGAGUUCCAGAAGCUGCUGGCUGUCCCCCAGGAGGUCCUUCUGCCCCCACCAAAUGUGGUUCUGUUAGGGGAAGAUCACCCACUGGGUGAGGUCAGGACCCCGCCCCAUCCUGCAUGCAUUAACAGCCUGGAAACUCUACAGUCUCCCUCACUGUGUCAGGGUACCCACCCCUGAGCCUUGGGAGUGCCACGGUUUGAGGCCACAGGUAGCAGUGGCCACAGGCCUCUAUGGCCUCUGGUGGCCCUCUAGAUCACACAUAGUCCCUCCUUAGGAAUGGGAUGGGUCCUGCGGCAGCCCACUGGCUGUCCCUAAACUAUACCCCUCUUCCUAGGGCUGGGUUUCCUUUGUCCCCACAUACCUUCCUUACAUUCUGGGCAGGGUCUUAACAGGAAAGGGCUAGGUUUUCCAGGCUCAUGUCCAGAUUUCCCCAGGUCUGUCACUGGCACUAGCAGCUAAUACGUGGAUGCUGAGCAGGGCUGGUGGGCUGGAGCAUUUGAAGUACGGGGGUAGAGUCUCCAGUUUUUCUUAGGAGGCUGACAAUAGUGGUGAGCAACAAGGCGAAUGAGCUCACAGGCUUCUGCCAGUGGUGCCAGCUCUGUUCAGCCAGCUUUCAGUGUGAUGGAUGGAGCCACCACACUAGGAGCCAGAGGGGAAAUAAUAGGAAUUCGAACUGUGAAGAAGCCUAUAGAUAGAGAGUAGGUCUAGAGGGCCACACUACCCUGAUCUCCCCAGCAGCACUAGCAGUGGCUGCCUGUGUCCCAUAGCAUCAUGGGUAAGUGCAGUAUAGGGUCUUCAAGGCUAGGGUUGCCCAGAGUAGGUCACAGGAGAUUCUGGGAAAGGGCCUCUAGGGCCCUUUGCAGCAGCACCCCUACACACACACAUGCACACGCACACACAGUCACACACACACAUACAAAUACACACACACUGGGCUGAAUGUGGAGCUUUCUGGAGCCUCUAGCUGGUGCCCAGAGUCAUUCUAGAGCUCUGACCAUGCUAUCCCAGCAGUGCUGGCAUUUUACUUCCCCUCUCCUCCCGUGGCUCCUCCUGCAGCCACCUCCUCUGGCACCAGCUAGUGCCCUUCUUCUUGGCUGAGCUGUGAUACUCAAGCAUCUGCUACUGUCAUGUCCUGUGAACCUGGCUGGGCAGGAGGAGCCUGCUGGUGUACUCCUUUACUCUGCAGGUUCACUGCCUGGCAGGGUUGACAAUGGGAUCCCCUUCCCACUGUCCAGAUGGGACAACAAUAGGGGGAAGCUGCAGUCAGUGGGGUGGCUCUGACCCUGGAGCCUCAGGGCUGAAGGGACUCCCUAGGGUUGUCUAAGGCCUGGGGUGGGUGUGGCCAGCUGUGCUGGGGGAGGGGCAUCAGACAUGAAUGUCUGCAUGUCUGUGUGUGUGGUCUGCAUGUGUGCCUGUCUCUGUACAUCUGCCUGGAUGUGGGGUGAGGUGGACCUAGUGCUGGAGGCUGCCCAGGGCCUUGGGAACCAAACAAGUUGGAUCCUCCCAUAAGGAGAUGGGGGUUGGAGGCUGAGGAUCAGGGGUCCUACUCAGAGAAGUAUGGCUAUCAGCACUGAAAGGAAGGGGCCCCAAGGCCUCUCUGGCCACUGAGCUGAGAUCCAGGUCUGUCUAAAGAUGGGGCCAGUUCAUGAGUCUAGGGUCAGUUCUCUGCCCUUGGAAUUCCUCAGCCAGACCUGACCCAGGCUGGCAGCUACCCACUCCCAGAAGAGGUGGAGUAGAGGAGCAACCUUCUGCGGUAACUAUGGGGCUGACCUGCCUGUUGCUUACACACUGUCCUCCCUGCUAUCUACCUAUUUCUGUCCUUCAGCCUGGACUGGACCCCAGCCUCUAGGGGAGGCCUGCAACGGCUUCUGGGUAGUUCGCCUUGGUGGAUCUGGGUGGGGGCUUGGCUUGGCUCAGCUCCGGGCUGGGGGUGGUGGGACCUCCCAGGCGCUGCCUGGGCACAGACCUCCCAGGCUCCCACCAGCCAAGCCUUGGCGGCUGCAGGAGCUACAAGGCUGGGACCAAUUACAGAAUCCUGCAGGGCCUGGACUCUCCCGUUCCCAAAGAGUAGGGUGGGUGGGGGGAGUCUCCAUCAGCUGCAGCUCCAGGUGGAGGAGCACUCUAGUCUCCUGAGACCUUGGCUUCAGAGCUAGCUGCCUGGUUCAGACACUACCUCAGCUUCAGGCCUGGGUGGGGGAAGUGAGUCUGGGCCUUCCUUGAUCUCCUGCCUUCUAUGCCUUCAGGAAGGACACUGGAUACCUCAGAACCAGGUGGCCCUGCAUGUCUCUCAGCCAGUGACAGAUCUGAUCCUGGCCCGAGUACAGUCUUCAGGCCCUGUGUCCUUUUACUAUCAGUUCUCCUGUGUACUGGGCUUCUGAUUCUGCCUGUAAUCUUGGAAUAGUGGACAGGCAUACAUGGUAUAAGGGUGUGAACAGGCAUGAAUGGGUACAAUGAUUUCAGAUGUUAGGUUUGGGGGCUGGGAAUUUAGCUCAGCGGCAUAAGUACCUGCCUUGCAAGCAGGCGGUCGUGAGUUCGAUCCCCGGUACCGAUAAAAAUGAAAAAGACAAAAAAAAAAAAAAAAAAAAAAAAAAAAGAUGUUAGGUUUGGGAUCAGGGUUCACAUGUACAAUUCACUGCAGUCGUGUGGACCCAAGAGUACUGUGUAGAAAAAGAUGUUGGUUUGGGCUCUGAUUUGGGGGAGGGGAUGAGGUACAGCUAUGCAGAGGCUUGCUGAUGGGGGUCCUCCUGUGCAAUGAUAGUGGGGCUGUUUUAGGUCAAGGGUGAUGCUGAGGGUGUUGCAUGGGGUCACAUCUACCCUGGGUGUUCAAGGGCCAGCAAGACUGGGCAGAGAUUCCCUGAGUUGAGGGCAUAGGAUUGUAAGGUGGAGAACAGAUCUGUGUUUGUGACUGCAGCGUGACUGUGAAUGAUGGCAUAUGUGCUGUGGCCAGUACGUGCAGAGAAGUGGCUUCUGGGGGUACCCCUGGGGCCCAGAUAAUAUUUCAAAGGCUGUUUUCUGAUUCAGGGUAUUGUGCUAUCCAUGCGGACUUGGGACCCUGAAUGUUUAUCACAGGCUGUGCUUAUUUCUAGGAGCACUGAAGGAGAGCUGGGUGUCAGGAAUGCUGGGCUGUGAUACUGAUGUCCAGAGAGCUAGGAGCAACAGGAGGAAAGCAAGCAACAGCAGGGCCAGCUUUCAUGCCCUGCCCAUACAUAGCAGGCCACUCUCACUGCAUCUGUGGCCACUGCCUGUCUAACCGCCAAGAGAGGCCUGGAUGGAGCUCUGUGAUGGGAACCUGCAGCCCCCAAAGUGGCCGGGAGGGCCUGAUGGAUUGGGGCUGCACCCUCCUAUGGCAGGGAGGUAGAGACCUGAGGAGGUACAGGAUGCUCCCCACUGCAUGGUGAUGGGAAAUGGGGGGUGGUUCGUGUGAGUUUGGCAGCAUGAGCCUUCCCAUCACUGCCCUGCUUCAGCUAGAGGGGAAGCACAGAUGCUAGUCACUGGGGUCAUGGCCAGCUUUGGGGUGGGGGCUGGGGGACACAAAUAGAAAAAUAAAUGGCCUCAGCUUCCGCUGUUUCCUGGACUCAGGAUGAAGGAGGGGAGGGCUUUGGGCCAAAGGUACAGCUGGCCCAGUGGGGUUGACCCUGGGGGUAUCCCCAGAUCCUGUGAAGGCCCUAGUAGCCCCUUCAGACUUCCAAGCCAGGGCUUCUCCCCCAGAGUCCCCAGGACAGGGCCAUGCUACUCACUAAGGGCUACUGAGGGUGGAUUCACAGCUUUUCUCUUGACAAGACACCCAAUAUAGAAAAUCCCCUAUAGGAGGAUGCAAAAACCCUAAGGAAAAUUGGGGCUUAGCUCCAGGAAAGGACAAAGCAAUGGGGCUUCUGCUGGUGUUCCUGGUAGAGUGAACCACGAAGGAGCCCCUGCCUGUGCAUCCUGGGAGCUGGAGGAGGCCCCUAGUAGCAGCCAGGCAGAAAGUGAGUGAAGUGCCCCUUGGGAACUCUGGCCCCUACCUGCAUGCCAGGCUGUUGUGCUCCCAGUCUCUAGGGACUAGGGGGUGUGGGGAAGGAUGUAGGUACCCUCCUUUCCAUUGCACAGGGCCCAGGUAGAGUUUGGGGAGUGGGCAGUGCCCUGUUUCCAUGGUCACCCCAAGGUAGGAUCCACUGGUUCUCAUAUGUUGUCACUUGUGGUACAGUGCUUGAGCACAGGAGGAUUUGGAGGCCUUGGCAGUUAUCUGGGAAAGCUCUGCAGGGGAGGAAGUUCAGAAAGGUUCAGGUCCCGGGUGGGGUCUGAGGUGGGUGUGACCGCUCGGAGCUAGUGCCCCCAAGGUCAGGAGCUCAUACGGAGUCUGAGAAUGAACAUCUCUAAGACUGGGGGAGUGUUGGAGCUGGUUGGCGCUACUACCCUGCAAGCGAGGGCUCUUCGGCACUGACCAUAUUCUCACUCCAGUGGCUUCAUGGUCACAGCUAGGCAGUAUAGUCCCUGCUGGGAACCCACAGAACUUCCCUAGGGAUGGGAAGCCAAGUUUAAGCAGGUCUGUGGCUCACUAUUGCCAUCUACAGGCUGCUUCUCCUCAUAUCACUGGGGCCAGUCAGCCUCAGCCCGCUCCAGCCUGCCUCCUCUGCCACCCUACCAGUCCAGUCCACUCCCUUCCUCCCAUUGGCUUGCUCCUGUUUUGGGUCAGGCCACCACACCAUUGCCCACACCUGUCUGACCUGGAUGCACUGAGCAGUCCCACAGGCUGUGCUGACUCAGGAUACCACCCCGAUGCAGGAAGCCUGCUAGCCUCCUAGUCUUCAUUCUUAGGGGGUCACAGGAGCCUGGUUUCUCUUUGUCGGCAGCCUUUGUGGGCUUUAGAGGAGACCCAGUGAGACACGGGAGCCUCCUUACAAACUGUCUCUUGUGGGCCUCCCAGGGCCCUGAGAAGAAAGGGCCACCUGGCAUCUUAUGGAGGAGGAAAAUGGACACAGGGCAGAUGGUCCUGGACUUCUCCUCUAGCUUUGCAAAGCAGAGUCCUGGUUCUCAGCUGGUGGAAUCUGCUUGACUACCUGUCUCAGGGCACAGAUUACCUUGGGUUGGCACAGAUUGGCAAGGAGGAAACCAGUUAUACCAACACACAUAUGAAGUGUUCUCCAAAAUUUCUGAUUCAUUGAUUGAUUGAGUCAGUGAUUAAGUUUUUGGGUUUUUGAUACAGCGUCUCACUAUGUUGUCCAGGGUGGCCUUGGAUUCACUAUGUAGGCCAGGCUGGCCUCAAAUCCACAGUGAUUCUCCUGCCUCUGCCUCUUCAGUUCUGGGAUCACAGGCAUGCACCAUCACACCUGGCUCUCAAAUUUGUAAUUCAGAAGUCAAGCCUUGCUUUACUAACUCAAUGAAAAACAAUAUGUGUUACUGGGUGGAAUGCCCACUGCACUUGCCAGCAGCAGGGGACAUGUAGGGUGAAGUGAUGCUCAAAGCAUCAGCCCCAGGCCCUGCUGACCACACAUGGUACAUGGGCUUGUUCAUAAGUGAAGGUGGGAUACAUUUCUGCGGGCUGUCUGGAAAGAUGUUGUCUUCUUUCCCAUCAGGGUGAGACCCUGUACUUCUCUCCCACUUUGCCCAGGCCUGUCCCUGCUGUGCAUCUGCUUCUCUCCCUUCCCUUAGCCUAGCUAAUAUUGUUGGCUGGAGACAUACUCCAGGCUACCCUGCCACCUUUCCACAUGGGAAUACCAUCUGCCCUGGAAUGCUACCUCUAGCUUUCCUGAGCCUCUUGACUUGGUCUUAGUAUACCCUGGUUGGCCUGUGGCCCAUACCUCUGAUCUACACAAAGGAUAGAAUCCCAGAACUCUGCUUGAUGGGGUCCUGCCAACACAGGAUUUCAGGAGUCACCACACAAGGGCAUCAGGCAUUCCUCACGAAGUUUUCUUACCAUAAACUUGAGUCAUCUGGAGGAAAAUGGGUGCACCUUAGGGCCACAAUGCUAAAUGAAGUAAAUCAGACACACAAACUUACAUAUUACAUGGCUUUACUUGUAUGAAAAAAAUCAAUAUAUAAAAAGAGUGCGAAAUAAAGGUGAUAAUUGGAAAAGAGAGAAAAAAUUACUGUAAUUCAGCAUGGACAGUAUAUCUAAUAGUGUGCCUUGAUUUAGUAUAAUUGUUUUAUGUGCUUGAUUUUUAUUUGCCAGUUAGCCUGGUUGUUAAUUUGUAUGUAUAAUUAACUUUAUGAGGACUUAUAAAUGAAUCUGAUUGUGGCAGAAAAAAUGGGGGUAUGGAAGGGAAGGGGAAAAAGAACUUCGAUGUGUUAGGUACAUGUACCAAUUCCCUACAAUGAAUAUAAUCAAUAUUUACUGCAAACAUGUACUAAUAUAAAUUAAAAAAAUAAAUUACAGCAUCAAAACCAAAGAAAA